AACGAACGCUGGCGGCAGGCCUAACACAUGCAAGUCGAGCGCGCCUUCGGGUGAGCGGCGGACGGGUGAGUAACACGUGGGAAUAUGCCUUUCGGUGCGGAAUAGUCUUGGGAAACUGAGGGUAAUACCGCAUAUGCCCCUUGGGGGAAAGAUUUAUCGCCGAAAGAUUAGCCCGCGUUGGAUUAGGUAGUUGGUGGGGUAAUGGCCUACCAAGCCGACGAUCCAUAGCUGGUUUGAGAGGAUGAUCAGCCACACUGGGACUGAGACACGGCCCAGACUCCUACGGGAGGCAGCAGUGGGGAAUCUUAGACAAUGGGGGCAACCCUGAUCUAGCCAUGCCGCGUGAGUGAUGAAGGCCUUAGGGUUGUAAAGCUCUUUCAGCUGGGAAGAUAAUGACGUACCAGCAGAAGAGCC
rnacentral:rRNA from 1 species